rnacentral:rRNA from 1 species
UACGGAGGAUCCAAGCGUUAUCCGGAUUUAUUGGGUUUAAAGGGUGCGUAGGCGGUCUAUUAAGUCAGUGGUGAAAGCCCCAAGCUCAACUUGGGAACUGCCAUUGAUACUGAUGGACUUGAGUACAUUUGAGGUGGGCGGAAUGUGUCAUGUAGCGGUGAAAUGCUUAGAUAUGACACAGAACACCGAUUGCGAAGGCAGCUCACUAAACUGUAACUGACGCUGAGGCACGAAAGCGUGGGGAGCAAACAGG